rnacentral:rRNA from 1 species
UUGCAGUUAAAAAGCUCGUAGUUGGAUUUCUGGGAGGGUGCCAAUGUCCGCCGACGUGCGUGCGCAGCGGCGCCCUCUCAUCCUUCUGUUAACGUCUCUCGGCAUUCAUUUGCCGGUGGCGGGCUCAGAUAUUUUACCUUGAGAAAAUUAGAGUGUUUCAGGCAGGCUAGGCCGGAAUACAUUAGCAUGGAAUAAUGGAAUAGGACUUCGGUCUCUUUGUUGGUUUGAGGGACUGCAGUAAUGAUUAAUAGGGAUAGUUGGGGGCAUUAGUAUUUAAUUGUCAGAGGUGGAAUUCUCGGAUUUGUUAAAGACUAACUUAUGCGAAAGCAUUUGCCAAGGAUGUUUUCAUUAAUCAAGAACGAAAGUUAGGGGAUCAAAGACGAUCAGAUACCGUCCCUAGUUCUUAACCCAUAAACUAUGCCGACUCGGGAUCGGGGGCGCGAACUAUCCGCCUUCGGCACCGUAUGAGAAAUCCAAGUCUUUGGGUUCUGGGGGG